UACGUAGGUGGCUAGCGUUGUCCGGAUUUACUGGGCGUAAAGAGCGCGCAGGCGGUCGUUCAAGUCGAGUGUGAAAGCCCCCGGCUCAACUGGGGAGGGUCACUCGAUACUGAUCGACUCGAAGGCAGAAGAGGGAAGCGGAAUUCCCGGUGUAGUGGUGAAAUGCGUAGAUAUCGGGAGGAACACCAGUGGCGAAGGCGGCUACCUGGACCGGUACUGACGCUGAUGCGCGAAAGCGUGGGGAGCAAACAGG
rnacentral:rRNA from 1 species